AUUCAUGUGCUAUAAAUUCUCGUUUUUCCUGUAGUGCUUGAUAGCUAGUGCAGUUUCCAUCUUCUCUUGGUCAAUACCAUCUGAAAACUUUUUAACUCUUUUU
rnacentral:sRNA from 1 species